UACGAAGGGUGCAAGCGUUAAUCGGAAUUACUGGGCGUAAAGCGUGCGUAGGCGGUUUGUUAAGUCUGUUGUGAAAUCCCCAGGCUUAACCUGGGGAACUGCAUCCGAUACUGGGAUGGCUUGAAUCCGGGAGAGGGAUGCAGAAUUCCAGGUGUAGCGGUGAAAUGCGUAGAUAUCUGGAGGAAUACCGGUGGCGAAGGCGGCAUCCUGGACCGGCAUUGACGCUGAUGAGCGAAAAGCUAGGGGAGCAAACGGGG
rnacentral:rRNA from 1 species